AUGGAUUUCAUCGAGGGCCUUCCCAAGGUGGGCGGCAAGUCCGUCAUCCUUACGGUGGUCGACCGCUUCUCCAAGUACGCGCACUUCAUCGCGCUCGGCCAUCCCUACACUGCCGCCUCCGUGGCGCAUGCCUUCUUUGAUGGCAUCGUCUGCCUCCACGGGUUCCCCUCUUCGAUUGUCAGCGACCGGGACCCGGUGUUCACGGGGCAUGUCUGGCACGAUCCCUUCCGGAUGGCGGGUGUGAAGCUACGCCUGAGUACGACCUUCCAUCCUCAGACGGACAGCCAAUCUGAGGUGGUCAACAAGGUGAUUGUCAUGUAUUUGCAUUGUGCUACAGGUGAUCGUCCCCGUGCUUGGGUGGACUGGCUCGCAUGGGCGAAGUAA
rnacentral:rRNA from 1 species